ACGGUGUAGCAAUACACUGGUGGCGACCGGCGCACGGUGCGUAACAGGUAUGCAAUCUGUCCCAUACCGGGCAUAGCCCGCUGAAAGGCGGAUUAAUUCUCCAUGUGUCAUGAGAGGGCAUCCUUUUAUGAUGAAACGUAAGGGUAUGGGAUGAGCAUGCUUAUGAUUAGAUAGUAGGCGGGGUAACGGCCCACCUAGUCGACGAUCAUUAGGGGUCCUGAGAGGGAGAUCCCCCACAUUGGAACUGAGACACGGUCCAAACUCCUACGGGAGGCAGCAGUGAGGAAUAUUGGUCAAUGGGCGGAAGCCUGAACCAGCCAAGUCGCGUGAAGGAAGACGGUUCUAUGGAUUGUAAACUUCUUUUGUCCGAGGGUAAAGUGAGUCACGUGUGGCUUAUUGCAAGUAUCGGACGAAUAAGCAUCGGCUAACUCCGUGCCAGCAGCCGC
rnacentral:rRNA from 1 species